UACGUAGGGUGCGAGCGUUGUCCGGAAUUACUGGGCGUAAAGAGCUCGUAGGCGGUGUGUCGCGUCGGCCGUGAAAACCUGGGGCUCAACUCUGGGCGUGCGGUCGAUACGGGCAUCACUUGAGUUCGGCAGGGGAGACUGGAAUUCCUGGUGUAGCGGUGAAAUGCGCAGAUAUCAGGAGGAACACCGGUGGCGAAGGCGGGAUCUCUGGGCCGAUGACUGACGCUGAGGAGCGAAAGCAUGGGUAGCGAACAGG
rnacentral:rRNA from 1 species